GGGCUAGUGGUGGAAUGGCAUACACGAUGGACUUAAAAUCCUUCGCUCUUCACGAGCAUGAGGGUUCAACUCCCUCCUAGCCCA
rnacentral:tRNA from 1 species